rnacentral:rRNA from 1 species
UGGGGAAUAUUGGACAAUGGGCGCAAGCCUGAUCCAGCCAUGCCGCGUGAGUGAUGAAGGCCCUAGGGUUGUAAAGCUCUUUUGUGCGGGAAGAUAAUGACGGUACCGCAAGAAUAAGCCCCGGCUAACUUCGUGCCAGCAGCCGCGGUAAUACGAAGGGGGCUAGCGUUGCUCGGAAUCACUGGGCGUAAAGGGUGCGUAGGCGGGUCUUUAAGUCAGGGGUGAAAUCCUGGAGCUCAACUCCAGAACUGCCUUUGAUACUGAAGAUCUUGAGUUCGGGAGAGGUGAGUGGAACUGCGAGUGUAGAGGUGAAAUGCGUAGAUAUCCGUAGGAACAUCCGAGGCGAAGGCGGCUCGCUGGAUCACAACUGACGCUGAGGGACGAAAGCUAGGGGAGUAGACAGGAUUAGAUACCCUGGUAGUCCUAGCCCUAAACCAUCAGGACUUGGGGUUUGCCCUGUACGGGGCAAGUCCCGUAGCUAACGCGUUAAGUCCUGCGCCUGGGGAGUACGGUCGCAAGGCUG